AAUUCGUGGUGUGGGCACUUCUAAAUUAGCAUCUUAAAAUGCUCGCAUGCUUCUUGAAAGCUUUCCCCUUCUAACUGUUUGAACAUCAAAAUUUCCUUUUGUAGCU
rfam:Gossypium arboreum cultivar AKA8401 contig_87321_1, whole genome shotgun sequence.